CACCGAAGCCUGUGGUUAUUUAACUGCUAGGCAAUGUGGUGUUUAGGUUGGUUCAUUGUUUUACUGCUCUACCCCAAGUCCAGCAAUGAGUACGGCAAACUGGAAUGGCCYACAGAGGGUGAAAGGCCCGU
rnacentral:rRNA from 1 species